rnacentral:rRNA from 1 species
AUGCUUAGUACGGCGAGUGAGCGGCAAAAGCUCAAAUUUGAAAUCUGGCGCCUUCGGUGUCCGAGUUGUAAUUUGAAGAAGGUAACUUUGGAGUUGGCUCUUGUCUAUGUUCCUUGGAACAGGACGUCACAGAGGGUGAGAAUCCCGUGCGAUGAGAUGCCCAAUUCUAUGUAAAGUGCUUUCGAAGAGUCGAGUUGUUUGGGAAUGCAGCUCUAAGUGGGUGGUAAAUUCCAUCUAAAGCUAAAUAUUGGCGAGAGACCGAUAGCGAACAAGUACAGUGAUGGAAAGAUGAAAAGAACUUUGAAAAGAGAGUGAAAAAGUACGUGAAAUUGUUGAAAGGGAAGGGCUUGAGAUCAGACUUGGUAUUUUGCGAUCCUUUCCUUCUUGGUUGGGUUCUCCGCAGCUUACUGGGCCAGCAUCGGUUUGGAUGGUAGGAUAAUGAUUAAGGAAUGUGGCUCUACUUCGGUGGAGUGUUAUAGCCUUGGUUGAUACUGCCUGUCUAGACCGAGGACUGCGUCUUUGACUAGGAUGCUGGCAUAAUGAUCUUAAGCCACCCGUCUUGA